GAUUCACUUAACAACUGUGGCAAGAAAGGUCUUAAAAUAGGACAAAACUCACGUAGCAAAUGUCUCUCUUAGCAACAGAAAUUUGGGGCUCAAUUAUGGUUGUAAGUCAAGGGCUACCUAUAUUGUUACAUUCCCUGGAUGGAUGAAAAUAUGAACAUUAUUGGGUUUCUCUUGAAUUUCUAUCAAUGUUCCUUGUGUUUGUACGAAGGGGGUUUUAGGAAGAAAACUCUGCCUGCCAAGAGUGGUUUUUGACUAGACACCAAAACUGACAUUGUUCCAAUCAAGGUGAAAACAAGAUCUCAGAUAGACUAGUCAGUUCUCCGCUUUCCACACCAACAUCUGAAAAUGGACUGCCAGACAAAGGAAGUGUAGGUAUUAAUAAUUAAAACAGCACUCUAAGCAUCUACUGUGCUUUUUAGCUCUUACAGCAUAAUAUAGAAGCAACCGAUGUGGCAUUGUUAAGCUCAUCUCUAUUUUGCAGAAGAGCAACGAAUCAUCCAUUAAGUCAGAGUGAAAUUCCCAUCAAAUGUAAGUUUGCUAUAUAUAAACUGCAAUAUUUAUAUAUUUUUUCUAUCUUAAUAUUGGGAAGAUGCACCUUUUUGAGAUGAGAGAAACGUUUGCAUUUUUUAUGUUUGCCCCGGCCAUCUUGACCACAUCCAGAACUAGCUCUUAGCCAAGGGCAAAAUGCCUUGGAAAAACAGGUUGAAGUCCACUCUGUUCAAGGAAACAGUGCAGGCCAAUCACCAGGCACAAUCUGUCUCCUCUUUUGGUGGCCAGGAAAACAGGCAUGGUCAUCAACUCCGUUCACGUCCUGUCAAGUCGUAUCAGAGGCUGCAUGCAACAAAAUGUGAUUUCUUUAGCAAUUUGAUAGAAGGACCAAUCACCUCUCUUUGGAAGCAUUUGAGCAGAGCCUGAAAAGCCAUAAGGCCAUGGAUACUUUAAUUUAGAUUCUUGCAUUGAACAAGGAGUUGGGCUCAUUAACCUAAUAGAACCUUCCAAAUAAGAUUUUAUGAUUCUAAAGGGGAGAAAGAGCUGUUUGAAGAAGUUAAAAAAAAGAUGGAGAGAAGCAAACCUAAAAGGCAACCAGAGUAAUUAGGCUGGUCAAAGAAGUUCUGGCUUGUGCUGCAUGUUCUUGAUAGUCACAGUGAACAUAGAAAGACAUGGAUCCAGACGUUGGCUCAGUGCUUGAAGCAUGCAAUGUUUGAAAACCACAGGUCAUGACCAAAGGCAGGCAAGGUGGCCUUCUAUGCCCCAUGACCACAAAGUGGUUUCUGUGUUUGAAAACUGCCAAAGAAGGGAAUGAGUCAUAGCCCAUCUGUCACUAGGUUAAAAACAUAGAAUCAUAAAUGGAAGGGACCUUUAGAGGUCUUGUAGUCCAACCCUCUGGCCAAGACAGGAGACCUUAUACCAUCCUGAACAAAGUCCAAUCUUUUUUUUUUUUUUUUUGAAGAUCUCCAGCAAUAGAACACCCACUCCAUAUCCAUUUUAAUAGUGUGAAAACAGUUCCCAUCAAUUUGGCUGUUCAAAUAGAGAUUAGCAAGAUUGGUGCUAGUAAUCCCAAAAUAGCUUGUUUUCAGAGGUGACUAGAGUUGCCAUACAAUAUAGCUGGAGAGCAUCAGAAUGCUCAGCCCAAUCUUUCUGCCAGUCCAAUACUGUCUCCCUGAGUCUGUGAUAGAUCAAAAAGAAAUAGAGGAGAUGGUAAGGUAAGGCCUGUUAAUAAAGUUUAACUCCAGAUAGCAUACUUUCUUUUCUACUAGAAGCAAUUGUGAAGAACAAAUUUGCAACUGUGGUCUUUUCUGAAGUUAUUGCGGGGUGGGUGGGUUAAUGUCCAGUUUAGUCUACAGUCUUGGGAUGUUUGGGGGCGGUCUCCCACUUAUGGGAUAAGCAGGUUCAAUCCUACUUGGAUUUUUGAGACCAGUCAAUGCUAGUUUACUGCCAUCUAGCUGCACUAUGUCCCUUACUGUAGUUUAAAAAAAGGGAACCACAAUUGUUUUAUUUAUUUCUUCAUGCUGAAUAGGUAAUUUUUCAAUCAGAAUUUUCUAAGUAAGGAUUCAGCUGCAAGUUUGCAUAAAGAUAAGUUCUUCCAUCUGCUACAAGGAUGUUUACAUGGGAUAGUUAAAAAGGGGGGGAAGAUUAUGUCCACAACAGACUGACUGAAACUCUGCCCAUUUUUAAUAUGCAUCUCACAUUUGAUGUUCAUAAAAAGCAAGCAGAGCUUUGACUGCACCAUUGUGGAUGCCAUCAUGACUUCUUUGACUAUAGCUUGUAGAGACCUGGAUCUGCUAUACAGUCAAAUGCUCAGUGGAAAUUACCAAUUACAGUAACUGCUUCUGAACACUUAAAUAUUGUGGUUUUUUACCCAUCUUUCAGGUUAUACUGCCCUCUGAAGCCAGUUGAUGAGACAAGAGCCAGUGCCUAAUUAAACAUGGUUUUAAAAACCCUUAAACAAGCGACAAUUAAAGCCUUUGUUUGUUUUUCUUAUGUGUGUAGCACAAUUCCUGCCAGAUGCAGAACGGAAUUAAUUUGGUGUUCUGAGUUCUUUUACAAAGACAGCAGUGAUCAUGCCAUAUCUUUGGAUUCUACUUCCAGAAUUUAAUGGCACAAUUUCCAAAAUAUCAAGGGCAGAAUUUCCUGUCACCUCAAGCCCAUGAAAAGUUUGCUACCUUUCUUGCUAAAAAGCAGAGGUGCCCACAAGGUACAGUCAACACUUCAAGCUCUACCCAUUCUUAUGCAAAUGAGGCUCACCUAAAAAACAUACUGAGCUGCAAUUGCACUCUUCCGUUCAUUUCCUUGACUGUUUUGAGAACCUCCUGUGUUCACUCCUGUAAACUACUCUCAGACAGCUUGAUCUUUUCCUUUUAACGAACCUUAAAACGCACACGGUUGGUCUAUGCUGGCUUGUGACACUGUGUCCUACAAAGCAAUGUAUUCUUUUUUUAUUCCUUUAUUUGCUCAAUUUAUAUACCAAGCUCAGGAGCUGAAGAAGCAUUCAUAACUCCCCUUCCUAUUAUUUUUGUGCUCAACUCUGAGAUAGGUUGGAUUGAUGGAGAAUGACUGGCCCAAAGUCACCCAACUGAGUUUCCAGACAGAGGAAAGGCCCAGGAUUCUCCAAUGCUAGUUCAAUGGCUUAAUAAUUAUAGCAAAAUAGCUCUUAUAAUGCUGAAGGAAUGUAACAACUGAUUAAAUGAAUUGAACUAUGCUGAAAUGAAAUAUUCUUGACCUUCCCAUCAAAAUAGUCAAGGUAGAGUUGUAUGCAGAAAGGUGAUAUGCAGAGAUAGGAUUUUAGAACAAUGUGUCUUUUCUUGUAUGUAUAUGCUAAGUUUUAAAUGACUGCAUUUUGUAUAAAUAAAGUAUCCACUUUCCCCCACCCUUAAUAAAA